AGAUAGCCAGCGAUGAGUAGUCGAGAGGUGGUCGUUCUGAGCGUGGGAGGUGUGAGGUUUGUAACCCGGGCUUCUACCUUGCAGCAGUUCCCUGAGUCCAGGUUAGCACGGAUGUUGAAUGAUGAUGACCGGGAAUUUAAACCGGUGAAUGGAGAGUUUUUCCUGGACAGAGAUGGAACUUUGUUCAGUUACAUCAUGGACUUCCUGAGGACUCUCCAGGUCUCCUUACCUGCUGAUUUCUCAGACUAUCAGAGGCUGCAGAGAGAAGCAGAAUUCUAUGGGCUCGACCCUCUGGCCGACCUCCUGAGCCAGGAACACUUGCUGAAGCCGAGGCCGGAGAUCUUGGAAGUGCGUUUUUCUCUCCAAGAGAUGCAGGCCUUUUUCCGGAUCUUUGGGUCCUGCAGUACCACUGUUGAGACACUGGCUGGACUGAUCACGGUGUUUACAGGGCAGCAGUCAGGACAGAGCUGGAACAGCCCUUUUCCUUCUCAGAAACCACUCGUUCCACUUCCUUUGGAAAGACCUUCUCAUCAUGACGUGGUUUUUCAGUGUGGUGCUGACUACUCUGCUGGUGACCAGUUUGUGGCCAGGUAUGUUUCCAUAAAGCCUGACCAUAGAAAGCUGAUUAAUGGUACUAAUGUGCUCGGCCUGCUGCUUGACACUUUGCUCAAGGAUGGAUUUCGCCUCAUAAGCACCAGGACAGUCUCCAGUGAAGAAAAAGUCGAAUGCUACAGUUUUGAAAGGAUGAAGAGGCCAGCAGGCCUCCCCAUCACAGUGAACCAAACCCCAGGGAGCUCCGGGGUAGCACAGGCAAAGAGAAGCCAAGUGCAGAAAGGGAAAUAGAGGCUUCUCCUUUCAUCUUUUGAAGUGAGAACCAUCGUUCACUGGAACAACCUCCCCAGGGAUGUGGUGGAGUCCCCGUCGCUAGAGGUUUUCAAGAUGUGACUGGACAGGCUGCUGGAUAAUCUCAGCUGGACUCCCCUUCCCGUCAAAGGUUGGGCCAGAGGAUCUUUCGAGGACCCUUCAAGCCCGGCCUGUUCUGUGAUUCUGUGAAGACCUUCUGUGGAGAUUGCUGGAAAAUGUUAUUGAAUAUUCAUUGGGAAACAAGCUGGGAGCCAUCCAGGAGGAGGAGGAGGGAGACUCAUUGCCUCUCACUCCUUCCCUCUGAUUCGCGUGGAACCAUUGCCAGGCUUUAACUUUACAAGGUUUAUUUUUAUUGAUUUUCAACAAUAAACAGUGGGAGUAUCUACAAUAAAAGAUUUACAGCGCAUCACGAGGAAAUACAACUCCCUACCAAAUAUUAUAUUGAUCUAUUCCCAGAUGCUACUGAAACGGCGUAUAAAAGCCCAGAUCAAGUCCAGUGAUGGAGAACUUCCUCUCUCCAGUGACAGAUGCGUAUGACUCUUAUGUCUUCAGAAAACAAUAAAAGGGAAGGGAGUGACUCUGCUUCUUUGACCGUAUCUUCAACAGCCCAGUUAAAUCUGUCAGCUCAAUGUAAUCCACAUAAAAAAAGAAUUUGGGAUCCAAGGGAACUGCUAGUGUGUCUGAAGACUCCCAUUCUUUGAAGCUGCCUCUCCUGCUGCAGUCGGGCCAUAAUUAGUCACAGAAGGCCUUGUUGUGACUAGUAAAUGGAUAGACCAACAAUGAUUUGAAUAGUCUGGAACCGGCUGGAGAUAUGCCUGGAGCCCUGAAUAUUCUCAAAUGGGUGGGUGGGAUGUAAAUCACUAGUCGUCGCAUAAAAUACAAAUAAAUCUGACUUCUAUUAAAAAAAAAAAAACCAAGGGAAUUUCGGUUUUCUAGACCAUCGUGUAGUUUCUGCUGAAAUAACCCCCUGAAGUGUGAUCUGAUGUGUAAAUUUUUCCAAGAAUCCUUCCUCCUUUUCUACUCUGUUUCCAUUCUAACGCAAUGGUUCAAUAAUUGGUGGCUUCUUUCUGCUCAGAAAGAUGAUGAAUGUAGCCCUAAAGGUUGGAAAGAAUAAUGUGUACGAGCCUACUUUAGAGAAUGAAUUUAGGGCUUUGCUUUCUAAGCAAGUUUCUGCUACGCCACUCAGCUGAGUGCUUGCUGAAGCUGAAGAAUUAAACGUUGCAACAUUGUUCCAUCCUGAUACUCCAUUGGAAAAAAAAGGCAAUAGAUUGGCAACACGAAGCGUGGUGUUUUACUAGUGCUUUGGAGUCAAGAACUCAAUUUUCCUUGACUUUCAAAGGCAGUUUGUAGCUUUCAUUGAGGCCCUUCUGAAAAGACUGGUCUAUGGUUUUGGUUUUUGUUCCCCAGUGAUAACUAAACUGAGUAAUAAAAUAAUUGCUGACAUACCGUUUUAUUUACAGUGUUGUAGUCAACAAUAAACAGAAGGCAUGCUGAUCCUCUUCCAUCCUGUAAUCUUUGUGUCAUUUUGCUAUGUCUUCAGCUGGCUCCUCGGCCUGGUCACUGGUGGUGUAGAGGAAAAGGCUAUGUGAUAUGGGCAAGCAGAGGUCCACAGAAGAAUGCAGACUCACUUCUUUCCCAUUACAGAGAGGGAGUUAAGGAAUAAAAUUCAGCUGAAAAGAGUUGCUGCCUUUGUGGGACCAAAGAGACACAACUUAUUGUACUGAAGGGAGGACAGUUAACGGAGCUGUCAGAAAUUUCAGCGCCACUGGACAAGGAGAAGCAGAAGAUCUUAUAAGGGUGAACGAAUGGGAGGGUGACAGCAGCCAAAGGAACAUGGGAAAGGCAUGGAGUGACUUAGAUGGGUGACUUAAACAUUCAUGAGACUGCAGGGAUGUUUUACUUUUUCCCAAUGUGUUAGGUAAGUGGAUCUGCAGAACAUCUUCCAUCAACAGUCUGCAUACCUGAAGAGCAAAAUUUCUCUCCCAGAGGUCAGUCCUGCGUCUGUGCUAUGAAGUGAAACGUUGCAGGACACAGACAUAGGGUGGGCUAAUCGUGUUGAUACCUCACAUCUGGAGAGCGAAGCUAUGCUUUUGGUGGCUGAACAGACAAGCUCCGAAGAUCAGAAUACCAGCACUGCUCUGGCAACACUGGGAUUAUAAAGCCUCCUGGAAAACUAUGGAUAUGUCCUGUUGGUGGCCUUUGCUUCAGUUCCAUUUGCAGUAUGGUGAGCAGUAACCCUAUUAGUAAGUUCCUAAUUUUCCAUAAACUGGAAAAUGUGUCUUCUGGAACAGAUGGGUUUAUGUUGUUUUCCUGAUUUGCAAAUUGAUCCUUGAGCCAUAUAAUUUUCCUUUGCUACCUAUCAUUGAUCAAAACACUAUCUUCUGAAGAUGGCUCAGUAAACUGUGGCUCCCUAGAACACGUUAAUGGCUUAAUGAUUAACAUGGCCGUGUCAAGCGUGUAAACAAAAAAUUGUAACUGCGUGGCCCCUGAUGUAACGGAAAUCCUUCUCACAUCUUCCCUUAGGCUAAUGAUAUUUUCUGCUGUUGUUCAGUAAGAGUUUUUGUUGACAACUGAAGUGUGAUAGUGCAAUCCAGAGUCCACUGGUGUUCAUACAGCAGUUAUGAAAUCUAUAGGUAUGGACGUGGAAAAGGAUGGGCAAAAGAUCCUCUUUUUCAUAGAAUCAUAGAAUCACUUUGGUUGGAAAAGACCUUUGAGAUC